GGGGAAUUUUGGACAAUGGGCGCAAGCCUGAUCCAGCCAUGCCGCGUGCGGGAAGAAGGCCUUCGGGUUGUAAACCGCUUUUGUCAGGGAAGAAACGCCCCGAGCUAAUACCUCGAAGUAAUGACGGUACCUGAAGAAUAAGCACCGGCUAACUACGUGCCAGCAGCCGCGGUAAUACGUAGGGUGCAAGCGUUAAUCGGAAUUACUGGGCGUAAAGCGUGCGCAGGCGGCUUUGCAAGACAGAUGUGAAAUCCCCGGGCUUAACCUGGGAACUGCAUUUGUGACUGCAUGGCUGGAGUGCGGCAGAGGGGGAUGGAAUUCCGCGUGUAGCAGUGAAAUGCGUAGAUAUGCGGAGGAACACCGAUGGCGAAGGCAGCCCUCUGGGCUAACACUGACGCUCAGGCACGAAAGCGUGGGGAGCAAAC
rnacentral:rRNA from 1 species